rnacentral:misc_RNA from 1 species
GCCUACUGUUUAAUUUUGAGGGUUCGUUUUUACGAAUACUCAAAAUUAGCACUUUAAGCAACAGAAUAAACUGAACGCAUGUGAAGUUUGUUUGUUGGCGCUGUGCGUUAGCACUUUAAGCAACGGGAUUUAUCCGUUGGCGCUGUGAAUUAGCACUUCAAGCAACGGAAUUUAUUCGUUGGCGCUGUGCUUUAGCACUUUGAAAACUGCAUAUAUAUUUAGUGAUAUGACAUCUAAUUUGUAAUAUAUAAAGCUGAUAACUUUUUAAAAUUAUCGAAGUUGAUAGCUUCUAAUCUAUCAAACCUUUUUAACUGGUCAA